rnacentral:rRNA from 1 species
UAAGCGCGCGUAGGUGGUUUGUUAAGUUGGAUGUGAAAUCCCCGGGCUCAACCUGGGAACUGCAUUCAAAACUGACUGACUAGAGUAUGGUAGAGGGUGGUGGAAUUUCCUGUGUAGCGGUGAAAUGCGUAGAUAUAGGAAGGAACACCAGUGGCGAAGGCGACCACCUGGACUGAUACUGACACUGAGGUGCGAAAGCGUGGGGAGCAAACAGGAUUAGAUACCCGAGU